rnacentral:rRNA from 1 species
ACAGAGGCGGCAAGCGUUGUUCGGAAUUAUUGGGCGUAAAGAGCAUGUAGGCGGCUAUGUAAGUCGGUUGUGAAAGCCUUCCGCUUAACGGAAGAAUGGCGGUCGAAACUGCAUGGCUUGAGUGCGGGAGGGGAGAGUGGAACUUCUGGUGGAGCGGUGAAAUGCGUAGAGAUCCGGAGGAACACCAGAGGCGAAGGCGACACCCUGGGCCGUACCUGACGCUAAGACGCGACAGCACGGGGAGCGAACGG